AGCCCCCUCACCUCCUCUCCUCCUUCCUCCGCGAUGCGCCGCCGCCGUGGGCGAGUUUCUGCCACGCAUCCGCGCCGUAGGCAUCCAUCGCCGGCUGUUGUUCUCCUGCAUCCGUAUCCAUGCCUUGCAGCUGUACCGCGUGUUGGACACUCUCCUCAUGAACCUCACAGCCCCUCCCAACAGCAACCAGAUCCCCUCCUUUCCCUGCAACCAGAUCACAAUCUUUCCCGUCGAUCGGUGGUAGUCACAUCAAUCGGCAGGCUACUAGCAGCAGCGGCGGAUGGAUCGAGAACGGAGAAUGGACGGGUGACAGCCAAGGUGUGUGGCUGCAAGCUCCCCUUCCCACUAUUCUCCAUUCACGAUGCAACAGGAGGUGGCUGCAUUUUUUUGACAACCAGAUCAAGACAACGGCGAUAGGGAGCAAUUUUGGUACGGUUUUUUUAUUUGAUCUGAAGCUAUUUAUGUUUUUUAUCUAAAAAAUGACAGUUUCAACAGAUGGAUUCUUAACUAUUCAUUCUUGAGAUACUCAUUGCACCACAAAGCAUUGAGAUAGUGGGAUUUGAUACUCAAAGCAUGCAUUAGUCACUACUCAGUUAUUUUGAAAACCAUUUCAAUUUUGAACCAUGUCGUUUUCUUUUGAAAACCAAAUCAAUUAUUUACUAACCGGCCUUGCCCAUAGCCAGUCAUGUGGUAACUAAAUUACAGUUAAUUCGUAAACUUGAAACACCAAUUGACUUGAUAAUUCAUGCUACAAAUUUGCUCCACCAGGCAUCCAGGCUAACUACGAAUUUCAGAUCUCUAGCCCACAGAAAAAUUGGUAUUCUCGUGAAUUUAAGAUGAUGCCAUGAAGCGCAAUUAUAGGGUAAGUAAAGGAAAUAGCUUGUGCUAAAUGAUGGAUCACCCUCGGUGCUGCGACCGGCUGCCUGUCCUUCGCCUCGCUGCGCUAAGUAACCUCGAGGUCCUCUUCUCCUCCAUGCUCGUGCUCGAGAUCUGCUGCUGAUGAGCUCAACGCCUCCCUAGCUCUCCUCUCUUACCCUGAACACUACGCCUUUGUUAAUCUCGACCUAAAUUCCACCUUUUGUAUGUAUCAGGCUUCAUGGUACCUAUGAAUCCAUCAGCAGUCUGGCAACAUUGGUCGAAGAGAGGUUGCAAGGUAAAGAACUUCUGGUAGAAAGCAUUUAGCUUCCAAAACAAGAGUAAUAUAUGGACACAAUUGAUUAAACAAAUUAACAAGAAUGACGCUGGAGAGAUUUUGUUCAGAGCAGAUCGUUUUAAGCCAUUGUCGCUUUCAGGAAAGAGAAGGUACAUAUAGUUGUUAUUACAGAUAACAUAUGAUAGCUCAAUUUGUUCAGAGCAGGGCGUUUCAAGCUACUGCUGUUUUCAAGGUUGAUUGCUACUAUUUGGAAAAAGAGUUGGAAUGAAAUAAGACAUUAAAUAGCACAUGGAAGCACCUACAACUACAAGGGGGUCUCACUAGGUACUGUAUGCAGGAUGCUCUUCCAUAAUUCGUGCCGGGUGUACUAGGUAUUGAUCUAUUUUGACUUUUUGUAUCUUGAAUUCUUGCUGUUGUGGGCUCCUGAAAUCCAGUUUUUAGAUGCACCUCUCAGUCUACAAUUUGGGUAGUCCACAAGAAAGUACAUGGUACAAAUUUCUCAGAUAUUUCUAUGUACACAAAUCUUUUGACAUA